CUACGGGCGGCAGCAGUGGGGAAUAUUGGACAAUGGGCGAAAGCCUGAUCCAGCCAUGCCGCGUGUGUGAAGAAGGCCUUCGGGUUGUAAAGCACUUUCAGUGGGGAAGAAAGCCUUGGGGCUAAUACCCUCGAGGAAGGACAUCACCCACAGAAGAAGCACCGGCUAACUCCGUGCCAGCAGCCGCGGUAAUACGGAGGGUGCGAGCGUUAAUCGGAAUUACUGGGCGUAAAGCGCGCGUAGGCGGUCUGAUAAGCCGGUUGUGAAAGCCCCGGGCUCAACCUGGGAACGGCAUCCGGAACUGUCAGGCUAGAGUGCAGGAGAGGAAGGUAGAAUUCCCGGUGUAGCGGUGAAAUGCGUAGAGAUCGGGAGGAAUACCAGUGGCGAAGGCGGCCUUCUGGACUGACACUGACGCUGAGGUGCGAAAGCGUGGGUAGCAAACAGGAUUAGAUACCCGAGUAGUC
rnacentral:rRNA from 1 species